AAAAAAAAAAAAAAAAUAGAAAGGAAGGGACUGAGGAGAGAAGGGCUCCAAAAACCCUGAUGAGGGACAAUCUCAACACCAAUUAUACACGUGUAGGUUUUUUAGUAGUCAAACAAUAUUAAAAAAUUUUAAAAUAUAAUUGUAAAACUAAAAUAAGAGAAAAUCCCGUUUUGAUAUUUUCAAUUGGAUUAGGGAUGUUCAAGCUUCGAAGAAACGAUUUCAGGAGUGCAGAUUCACAUGGGUCAAUCGAAAACAGAACAAACCGACGGAUAUUCUUGCCAAGGGUCGCUUACUCCAGAAUGAACAAUUUAAAUUUUACUCUUACGUUCCGAUUGUAAUUUCCUCAGCCUUACAGCUGGACAACUCUGGUUCAUAAUAUCAAUGGAAAAGAAGAUGCUAAAACAAAAUAAAAAGUUAAAAUAUCACCCUGUAAAGUCACAAAAGUUUAAAAUAACUUAAAAAUUAAAAAUCUAUCUAGCUAGAAGCUAUAUUAUAUCUUAUAUGUAAAAUAGAACAUAUUUUAGUAAAGGUUUUAAUUUUAGUUUUCAGAAGGAAAUCCAAUUUUUUAAAAUUAUAUGUUUAGUGUCACUAAACAUAUAAAGACACU